GUAACACUUAAACCUGAUUACAUUUUGGGUGAAGAUUAGCAUGUGAGUUGUAGCAUUUCUAUGUAGCUCAGACAAUAGCAAGAUUAUAGGGGUAGUGGAGGGUCCAAAUGUGAAACUAAUCAUCUAACUCUAUGUAUUGUCCGCCUGUUAAAUACGCUUAACACUACCUUUAUUCACAGUAGUUAAUGAAGUGUGUAAACCAAAAUAAUCAAUAGUAAUAAUUAAAAUAAUUAACUAUCUUUAGUGAUUCAUGUGGUAUUAUGGUAACCAUUUUUAAUGUUACUGUACAUGUGAUAUGCAAUGUUGGCAUCUAUUUCUAAGUCUUACUCCUUUAUGUGCCUCUAAGAUAGUAACAGGUAAAGAGUGAACUCUUCUUCCAUUUAGUGGACCAAUUGCAUAUCUGGUAUCUAACUUGAUACUAACCAAGAAGUCACUAUUUGCCAGACCCCACAACAUACAGGACCAACAAUUAAUCUGAAACCCAUUCAUGAAAAGGGGGUUCAGUGAGCCCUCUCGGUUUUAUUAAGCCUCAUUGCAAAGACAGUAGGAUGAUGAAAAGAGUGAAGGGACCUCACCAAGUCUUUCCUGUCAUUAUAAGCCAUGCAAACCAAUGCAUAUAAUAGCUUUUGCAGAACUAGCUACUUCAAUCAUAAGGCAUAUUUCUCACUUGGAGCAUAAUGUCUCCAUUAGCUAAAAUCAGACUUUGCUUUCAGCAUCUUCUGAACAUACUGAAAUGUCCAUGAUGGAAUAUAAAGCUCUGUAAAGUUUCAACCCACAGUUGCCUUGCUUUGAGUUUUGUCUCUAGGAUGGGGGUAAACAAUCUUCAAUCAGUUCACUUGAAGAAACUAAGAACACUCCACUCUUGGGGGCUAUAGCAUUAUUUAGAGUACUUCUGGCUUUCAGGAAUGGCUUGUCAAUAGAGUUUGUAAAUAGGGCUAAGUGCAAUAUCCAUUUUUGUUUCAGUGUGUUCUUAUACACUGAUCAGCCACAACAUUAAAACCACCUGCCUAAUAUUGUUCAGGUCCCCCAUGUGCUACCAAAAUGGCAAUGAUGCAUUGAGAUAUAUGUGGUGACAUUCUGUCAUCAAUCUAAUAUGGUGAUCAGGGAUCAUGUGACCAAGCUCUUACAGUGGGAUAAGCGUUACCUUUUGAAAUGGUAACUGGGUAAUUCAAUACCUUUACAAGUCAGGAAAGAGAUAACCACUCCCCCCUUUCUCCAUUUCUCUCUGUUCCUUCUUGGCUGUGCUGCAGAGCAGAUGUGCAGACGCCAUGUGCUAGCAUGGUGAACCAUGUAACUCUCUGUUGCUUCCUUUUCUUCCAUGGUGGAUGUGAUGUUGAACUUGCAGCAGUGAGCCAAUACUAGAUGUGAAGGCCUAACCGUGGGUGAGAUCAAGCGUGUGGGGAAGGGGUUACUAUAUAGAUAGAUAGAUUUAAAAAGGGUUGUUGCUCCGUGGGUCUGGGCUGUGUGUUUGUGAUACAUUUAUAGUAUUGUGUUGUUGCCUUUUAAUAAAUACCUUUUAAUGUAGAUGAACCUUGUGUAAUAUAUAUAUAUUAAUUUGGUGAUACACCACAAUAUGGACUCCACAGGACCUCUGAACAUGUCCUGUGGUAUCUGGCACCAAGACAUUAGCAGCAGAUCCUUUAAGUCCAGCAAGUUGUGAGGCAGGGCCUCCAUGGUUUGAAUUUGUUCAUCCAGCACAUCCCACAGAUGCUCAAUCGAAUAGAGAUUUGUGGAAUUUGAAGGCCAAUACCUUGGCCUCUAUGUCAUGUCCCUCAAACAAUUCCUGAAUCAAUAUUCACAGUGCAUUAUCCUGCUGAAAGAGGCCACAGCCAGCUGGGUACUCCUUUGCCAUGAAGGGCUGUACAGGUCUGUAUGAUCUCUAGGUAAGUGCUACAUGUCAAGGUAACUUCAUCAGGAAUGCCAGGACGAAAGGAUUCCCAACAAAAUAUUGGCCAAAGCAUGGCACUCUGACCAGUCUUUGGAUAUGCAGCAAACUGCAAUGCAAUGUAUGCUCUGAUAUCUUUCUAUCAUGACCAGCAAUUUAAGCAACUGUAGCUCUUUUGUGUUAUCAAAACAGACAGCCUAGCCUUUUUUACCUACAGUCAUCAUGAGCUUUGGGCACCCAUUGCCUUUCCUUGCACCACUUUUGAUAGGUAUUAACCACUGCAUAUCAGGAACACCCCACAAGACUCUGACACAGUCGUCUAACCAUCACUAUUUGGCACUUGUCAAAGUCACUUAGAUUUUUGUGCUUGCCCUUUUUUCCUGCUUCCAACACAUGAAAUUCAAGAACUGACUGACUGCUCCCUUGACAGGUGCCAUUGAGGUGACAUUAAAACAAUAUAAUAAUUGUUAAUUAACUUAAUUUGUCACUAGUUUUAAUGUUGUGGCUGAUCGGUGUACUUGUACAUUAGGAAAUGGGAAGGGAGAUAAAAAGCAAUGCUACAGGUGAUGAAUAAAAGCCCAAUAUAUUUUAUGUUUUGGCUGAUCAGUGUAUGUGUGUAUUAAUUUAUAAUAAGCACCCUUUAUUCGGAUUGUACUUUGUAUUUUGGAUUGUACUUGGAGAUAAUUAAUAUGGAAACUACACUCAAAUGAAUGGGAUCAUGAAAAUAUAAAAUGGGCAUCUUUCUAAAUUAGUUACGGAAAUAUAGUUAAAAAACAAAUGUUUAAGGGAUGUGUAUGGCAGCGCUACAUCUAUAUGUGAAACAGUAUUCAAGGCAGUUCUUUGUAAAUUAUGCAUUAAAAGUACUUCCUUUUUAUUUUAUUUUCAGCAAUACCCUUCAGCUAUACAUUUUCAAAAAAUUCCAUUAGUAAAAUAUUUAUAUUAAAAAAACAACUCAUCUAGAAAUUGCUAAAAUUAAUGUUUUUGUGACAUGUUCACUUUUUCAUUGGAACAUUAUGACCAGUAAUUUAAUGCUAGGAUAAUGAUAUUAUACUGCAUGCAUUGGUUAAACCUAUAAUUUCUUGUCAUUUUAUACAUGAAAAUCCUGCUUUGUGCAUUCUCUUAAAAUUGGAUAAUGCCAAUGAACAUUAAUCAGAAAUAAGCAGAGACCACCAUAACAGCAUGCAAUGUCAAACUGAUGAAUGGAAGGAUUUAAAAGUGUCAAAUUUCAGAAUCAAUUUACAACACAAUCUAAGCAGCUAAACUUGUAGGUAUUGUUAUUAAUAUUUCAAGAGAACAUUAAAUUGAAUAGGCCCUGUCUGAGAGUUUAUCAAAAAAUAUAAUCCUCUAUUAAGGAAACAAUGUGCGAGAAUCUUUACCUUGUUCAAAGAGAUGAGAAAAUAAAAAAAAUUCAAAUAUUAAUUUGUAAAAAAAAAAAUGUUUUAAAGUUGACCUGAUGUCAUUAUUCAAUGUUUUCUACAUAAUAAUAGUCAGCUGAUCUAUAUGGUAAUUAUGGUUUGGUGUUUGAUGAGUUUGCAACAAUUUCAUAAGUUCGAUAUCAUGACUAGUUUCUUUUAAAAUCUAAGAAUAAUAAAGCAAAACAUAAACAAUUAAAUAAUUUUACAAGGCUAGCUAGAGAAUCAAGUUAAAUUAGAUUAAUUUAUAUUAAAUGCUCUGCCCGUGGUACCAUUGAACACAUUUUACAUGAUAAAUAUACUUUUUUUUUUUAAAUAGUCAUAUAAAUUCAUAAUUUUUCCAGCAUUAUAAUUUUACCUUUUUUCUAACAGUAUAUGGCAUUCAAUAGAAACUAAUGAUGCAAUUAGUGGUAGGCAUUCACUGAAUCCCAUAUCUUCAUGGGUAGAAUUUGUCAAUGACCCCUUUCCCAGUCUGGCUACAUAGCAAUAAAGCAAUCAUUUAUCAGCACUUUGUAUAAUAUUAUAGUAGUUUAUUAAGUCAUCAAACCAUGAAAGGCACACUUUUGAAACUUCACAGUUUCUUUAUCAAGACAUUAAUGACUUGACAGCUUGAUAAAGACAUUGUAAAGUGUCAGAACAUUGCUUUGGAUGGUUUGGUGGCUCAAUAAACCAGAAUUUUAUAACAAGUAGAGCUGAUGAAUUAUUGAUUAUAUCAAAAACAAUCUAUAGAUUAGAUAGGUAGAUAGAUAGAUAGAUAAAUGUAAUACAACUUUGAAUUUAUGUACAGCAGUCUUUGUCUGUAGUGCAAAUAUCUGGAACAAUAAACGUAAAACAAUUUAUUUUACACUUUUUUUUGUAUUACUUAAUAUAGAAAAUGCAAAUUCAAAACUUUGUACCAUAAAUAAACAUUUCUCUAUCCAACUUGCAUGCCAAUCUGCAGUACAUCUUCACACCUUUUCUAAAUGACAAGUCAAAUAUGAAUACACUGUAAAUGGACACUAUAGUUAACCAGGCCACUUCAUCUCAUUGAAGAGGUCUGGGUGCAAUGUCCCUGUGAAAUUUAGCCCUGCAGCUGCAAACAUUGAGUCAAUGCUUUCCCAAAAGGAAGGCCUAAGAUGAGCAUGGCACCUGCCAUGCAUUGGUUCCCAUUUUGGCUGACGUUGUCAUCAUCAGAGACUGACCCAGCACCAAGGGAUCCAGAACUUAAGUCAGAUAAGUAUGAAAAUGUUUUUUAACCCUUUAUUUGCCACUGGGGGGUGCAUGAGGGAGGGUUGGAGAGGGACACUGUAGUGUUAGGAACACAGUUUUGUAUUCCUAACGCUAUAGUGUUGCUUUAGAUAAUGUGCAUACAUCUGUGACUCAUGCAGAAUGCAGAAUGCCUCUGUGAAUCACCCCGAAUGCUUAGUUUCAUUCUAUAAUAUACAUUUCCUUUCUUGUAAUAUUAACAUUUUCA